AAUGUAGGCGGUUUGGUAAGUCAGUGGUGAAAGCCCUCAGCUCAACUGAGGAAUUGCCUUUGAUACUACCGAACUUGAGGACAGGAGAGGAAAGUGGAAUUCCCGGUGUAGCGGUGGAAUGCGUAGAUAUCGGGAGGAACACCAGAGGCGAAGGCGGCUUUCUGGACUGAUCCUGACGCUGAGAUUCGAAAGCUAGGGGAGCAAACAGGAUUAGAUACCCUGGUAGUCC
rnacentral:rRNA from 1 species